CACAAGUUCAGUGGAAUGUUCUAACCACACUUGGAAUUGUCAUUCCUAGUUACUACCACAGCAUCUCCCACAAAUGCCUCUCUACUUUUGGGAGCCUAGUGCCUUUCUCCGGCCUUCCAGAACUAACCAGAUGUCCUUUUCCAUAAAAGCUGUGCUGUCCCAUGCUUCAUCUCAGCUGGAGACACAGGCCAUGAACCAGGACAAGCCCUUCUGUCCCAAGCUCCCAAGCUUCUUGCUCUUCUGGGAAAAAUCCAAUUUUAAAAAAAUAAUAAGCCCUAAGAAAAUGGAAUGCAAAUUUUAUUUUCUUGUGGAUGACUCUUAAGGCUUGUGAAACUUACUGAAAUUACAUAGGGCCUAACCCAAUAGCCCCAUUCCAAGCUCUUGGUGAAUAUUCAGCUUUAGGAAAAUUAUGUUUUAAGUAUAAAAUGCACCCACUUGCUUUAUAGGAGAAGGAAAUGGCAACCCAAACCAAUGUUUUUGCCUGGAAAAUUCCAUGGACAGAGGUGAUUGGCAGGCUACAGUCCAUGGGAUCGCAGAGAGUCAGACACGACUGAGCAACUAUCACUCACUCCUUCACUUUCUUUAUAAGGCUUCCUUAUACACCUUGGCUUCAAUGAGGUAAUAGAUAUUAAACUGUGGCAUGUAAAGUUUUCCACAUAUGUGAAGUUUAAUUCUUUUGUUGCCUCCUACCCCAGAGCCCGUGCCCUCUCCCCAGAUUCUGGUGGGAUCAACAUCCAUCACACCAGACUGGUGCAACGUCACCGUGGAGUGCAGAGCCUCUGGGGCCACAGACGAUCUGAACGUGACCUGGGAGAACAAGGGCAUCCCCGGAGAAUGGGAGCAGAGAAGGACAUUAGAACCAGCUUCCAGCCCAUACAUUCUGGCUGUGAGUGUGCCAAGAGGCCAGCCCAAUGCCAGCCUCGUCUGUGUGGUCAGCAACCCGGUGGGAUAUAAAACUGCCUUCUUCAACCUUGGGGGAGUCUGCGUCCAUGAUUCAGCCAAUCUGGUCAUUGCUGAACUCUUGCCAGGCAUCCUUGGGGCAGUUGCGGCUGUGUUAUUGAUCCUCGGAGGCGGACUGUACCUUUGGAAGAUACGUAGGAAGAAGAUGGAGACUGGAAAAGGCAGGUUUCCCUUCUCCUUCCAUGCCCACAAACCUCUCUUUCUCAUUGCAUUCUUGAUAUCCUUUCUCCUACAGUUUGUUCCCUUGAAAUGUCCCUGCAGAGGGUUUAGUAGGUCUGGCCAUGGUCUGUGUCCAUAGCAGUGGGUGAGAGUGCAGAUUUCCAAGGCUCAGAUUCAACCUCCACUCUGCCUGUCUCUCAGGUGCAAGAUCACAAGAUGCUGAUGAUGAUAGCAUCCAGUAUGUAGAGCUGAGCCAGCAGAAAUCUCAAGAGAGCUCAAACAAGGUGAGAGCUGGGCUGUGUGCUCUCCCAGGUCUCUCACUGCCUGGCCUGAGUUUGUCAAAUCUUGUCACUGAUGUUUCUGUUCCUACUGCCUCUUUAACACUUUUCAGACAGUCAACAAUGUUAACUAAGAAAAUUUGCGCUUGGGACCAAUAUAAUGCUGGGCACUUAGGGGAAUUCAUAAGUAUUGCAUGUCAUCCACUGGUUCUUUUCUGAUCCUUCUAGGGCUCCUCUAUCCCUCAGCUGUUUCAGGAACCUUUUGUCUUGCAUUCCCAGGUUAUCAGAGAACAGCAUCUGAAAGAAAGGGUACCUCUCAUUACUAUCUACAGUGAAGUCUGUAAGCCAGGUCAUGCCGUGCAGAUAAUUUAAUUGGAGGAAACAGAAGAACUGACAUUCCCAGGACAACUCCACCAGGAGCUUGAUCCCUGCAGACACCUGCCUCUCACCUCUGGUCCAGUUCCAGCUGCCUUUGGUUUGCUGUACUCUGAUCCUCCUGGCCACCAUUCCCUGGGCCUAUGUGGUCCUACCACUUCCUCUGAUGCCUCUCCAAGCUGUCCUCCCACUAAGGAUCCUCACAGCUGCAGAGCAAGCACUCCUCCUCUGCCAUUGACUCAACUUCUGACCCCUCUCCUCCUGAAGCUUCCCAAAAAGGACCUUCCUGACUGUGUUAAUCCCCAUAGCCUCUGAUGUGUGGUUGGUGUAUGUCUUUCUGAGAACAUGACUCCA
rnacentral:lncRNA from 1 species